GACAGCUUGGCCGAGUGGUUAAGGCGUUUGACUAGAAAUCAAAUGGGGUCUCCCCGCGUAGGUUCGAAUCCUGCAGCUGUCG
rfam:Monosiga brevicollis MX1 MONBRscaffold_14 genomic scaffold, whole genome shotgun sequence.